AUUGAACGCUGGCGGCAGGCCUAACACAUGCAAGUCGAGCGGAGCGGCGGACGGGCGAGUAAUGCCUAUGAAUCGGCCUGGUCGUGGGGGAUAACGUCCGGCAACGGGCGCUAACACAGCAUACUAGCAGAUGCGCCAAGGUGGGAUUAGCUAGCUGGUGGGGUAAAGGACUACCAAGGCGACGAUCCGUAACUGGUCUGAGAGGAUGAUCAGUCACACUGGAACUGAGACACGGUCCAGACUCCUACGGGAGGCAGCAGUGGGGAAUAUUGGACAAUGGGCGAAAGCCUGAUCCAGCCAUGCCGCGUGUGUGAAGAAGGUCUUCGGAUUGUAAAGCACUUUAAGUUGGGAGGCGUUACCAACAGAAUAAGCACCGGCUAACUUCGUGCCAGCAGCCGCGGUAAUUC
rnacentral:rRNA from 1 species